AUUGAACGCUGGCGGCGUGCCUAACACAUGCAAGUCGAGCGGUAACAGGUGUAGCAAUACAUGCUGACGAGCGGCGAACGGGUGAGUAAUGCUUCGGAAUCUACCCAAUGGUGGGGAAUAACCAGCCGAAAGGUUGGCUAAUACCGCAUACGUCCCACGGGAGAAAGCAGGGGAUCGCAAGACCUUGCGCCAAUGGAUGAGCCGAAGUCGGAUUAGCUAGUUGGAGGGUAACGGCCUACCAAGGCGACGAUCCGUAGCUGGUCUGAGAGGACGACCAGCCACACUGGGACUGAGACACGGCCCA
rnacentral:rRNA from 1 species